CGUUGUUGAUUGUUGGAAAUGGUAGAUCCUUGAACCUCAGGGGAUGAAGAUCCGGCAAUGGCUCAAGAAUACUAUCGUCUGCAAGAUUCCAUGAAAACACAAUUAACUACUGCAAAAAUAACAGUCACUAUUCAAAGGGAAAGAUGGCGUCGGAUUGUUGAAGAACGGAGAGGAGAGAAUGCAAGUAAAUAGCACUGAAAGGGCGCAAGACAAUGGUGGGAAUCUUAAGAUGAGUGGCCACUGCGUCCACAAAAAACAUGAUGUUGUCGUAGAUGAUGACGGGCUUUUCUUCUUCUUCUUCUUUUUCCAUCAACUGCACCAAAUACUCGUCCAGUGAAGCCCUGCAGUUUUCAUUCAUGGCAUAAAUGGCAGCAAGCAAGUUGUGAAAAGACAUGUCGUAGCCGGCCAAGCCGUCAUAUAAACUGUGAAACUCCAGCUCGGGAUGAGCAGAAGGAGGGGGUGAGUUAUAUUGAGGAUGGGAGACGGUGACGGAGAACCCCCGGGAUUGAAGAAUGCUCCCUAACUGAAGCAUGGGCGUGAUGUGGCCCUGAAAAGGAUAAGGCACUAGCACCACGCGCCGCCGCUUAUCGCCUCCUCCCUGCUUUUUCAUUGCCAUCUCUCUUCUGCUAACCCUUUUCUCUGGCGUAAAUUUUCUUGGAUGAACAAGUUUAUGUGCAGUCCGAAUUGGCAGUAAUGGUUAAUGUAUACAUAGUAGACAUCGUUGGAAAUAUUGAAAGUUUUUCUGUGUUGUUUA